rnacentral:rRNA from 1 species
GACGAACGCUGGCGGCGUGCUUAACACAUGCAAGUCGAACGGUGAAGCGCCUUCCUUUUUGGUGGGUGUGGAUGAGUGGCGAACGGGUGAGUAACACGUGAGUAACCUGCCCCCUUCUUCUGGAUAACCGCAUGAAAGUGUGGCUAAUACGGGAUGUUCUGGGUCUGUCGCAUGAUGGGUCUGGGAAAGAUAUUGUUUCGGUGGGGGAUGGGCUCGCGGCCUAUCAGCUUGUUGGUGGGGUGAUGGCCUACCAAGGCGGUGACGGGUAGCCGGCCUGAGAGGGUGGACGGUCACACUGGGACUGAGACACGGCCCAGACUCCUACGGGAGGCAGCAGUGGGGAAUAUUGCACAAUGGGCGCAAGCCUGAUGCAGCGACGCCGCGUGAGGGAUGGAGGCCUUCGGGUUGUGAACCUCUUUCGCCAGUGAAGCAGGCCUGCCUCGUUUGUGGGUGGGUUGACGGUAGCUGGAUAAGAAGCGCCGGCUAACUACGU